UUCAUAGGGUAGUUCAUACAUGCAUUUCCAAGGGGAGUGGGUCAUUGCCAGUGUUUUAAAAACUACAUAGGGGUGUGUGUGUGUGUGUAUGUUUAUUUUAUACACACAUAUUUGUAUAUUCUAAUAUAUUACUAAGGCAAUUUUAAUGAAUUACCAUGUAUAUAAAAAAAUAGCUGUCACUUGGCACACAGGUUUGUAUGUAUGUGUAUAUAUAUAUGUAUGUAUGUAUGGUGUGGGUACAUAGUCUUAAAAAUUACCCAGUAAUGUGAUUUGACAUCAAGUUGCAGCAAUUAAUAUCUUGGUGUUUGUAAGUAAGUUGCAUGAUAAACACAAAUGACUACCACUUGUCUGUAGAUGAAAAUCUGGUUACCCUUAUGGUUCCAGAAGGAAAAACAGACUUAUCUUGCCUGUUUCAUAAACAGCAUAAAAGAUUAAUACAUGCAGAACAUGCUCUUAUUCUGGAGGGGAUGGGGGAUCCAGAACAGGGCUUUAUUUCCUCCCAUCUUUCCUACAUUUACAUAGUUUUCUUAACCUGUUCCCUGUCACCUAUUUUUUUUAACAUUAGUAAGUCCUAGACCAAAGGUUUUGUAUUCUUCCAUUCCAUCUGACUGCUUUUUUGGAUGGUGGCCAUUCUCUGGUACACUGGUACCGAAGAUUUCACCAUGGAAAGCUGUGCUUGACCUUUCAACCUGAUCCUUUUUUUCAUCUUGACAUAAUAAGGCUGCCAUGUCUUCACCCUUCAGUGGAAAAGCCCGUCGUUCCCACCACAAAGACUGAAAGGGGAAAAAUUUUCAGUUAAGUUUCAACUAACUUGUUUUGUUUAAAUUCAUCUAACAAGUAAUCUGUACAUGUCUAUAUUGUAAUAAUUGUUCUGUUCUUUAGCACAUAAAUGUACAAUUUUUCAUUUCAACUUAAAUAGCAACUCAAAAUGGAAUAUAUUGAGAAUUGUUGAGUGACUUUUGGGAUUUAUUUCUUUACUUUGCCUCUGCCAAGAAGAGGAAAUGCUGCCAUAGGCAGUGGUCUUCAUUUCCGACCUAAGAGUACUUUGGGAAAGUGUUCUUAGGUUUGAUAUACUUCUACAGUAUCUUCAUUUUCAUUAUUAAAGGUACCUAUUAACUUUUUCUUUCCUGAGCUUUCUGCAACUUGCCUAUUAAUUCUAUAAUCUCCAUUCCAUUCUAGAUCUAGUUCUUUUUCAGUAUCUAUUUAGGAAGAAAGGUGUAAGAACUUUAUGGAUGCAGUGUUAGAAAGCAGUCCCUUUAAAGUAGGAACUGGGUCUGUGGUGAGGCAUGUAAAAAUCUUAAGAUAUGAGGAGAAAGAAAUAGCAGCUAACUUUGGCCAUGUAGCAGGUGCUAUUCUUCAUUAAUCAGGUUUGUUUCGUAAUGAAACUUUGAUAGUACUUCCACUCUCUAAUAGAUAAAUAAGUACUUGGAAGUUCGUAUUGACUUGUUACACAAGGUGAUUAUAGUUAGUAGUGGACACAAAAUGCUGCAAUACAGAUCUUCUAUACCUAACUUAUUGAAUUUGUUAUGUAAUGAUGUAAUAAACUUAAUUUUUUUCAAGUAGUUUCUACAAACAAGUAGUUAAAAGUCAAGGAAUGGGAAGUUUAAUCAUACAUAUUACACUUACCUUGGUUUCUUGACUUUGAUUUAAAGAAGGUAAGCCAUAUGCACACAGAUCCUGGUUCUCUGAAGGAAGCCCAGGAGGACUUGCAGCAGCACAUUGCUGACUGCUACUGAAGUUAUUAGGGUAUUCUUUCAAAAGCAAGUCCUGUCCUUCAACAUUUUUACUGUAAGCUCUAGCAAGAAAAUCAGGAAAACACAAUUAUUUUUUAUUUUUUGAGGUCUUGAAAAUUUAUGAACAACCCAAGGUAUCACUGAGUCAAGUUAACUUGGUAACUUUAAACAGUUUUGCCCAAAGAUUUUUAAAAAUUCCCCUGGUGCUAUUUAUUAUUUUCAUACUCAGAGGAUGAAAUAGUACUUUAUGAAAUAUUUUACCGAAUUAUAACAGUUGUGGGGGGAGGGUUAUUCUUGUUUUUUAUUUGGGUUUGCUUUUGUCUUUUGUCUGACUAAUUAAAUGAAAGAUGCUCCUUAACUAAAGUGACUACCAGACUUCACAC
rnacentral:lncRNA from 1 species